GAUGAACGCUGGCGGCGUGCCUAAUACAUGCAAGUCGAGCGAACAGACGAGGAGCUUGCUCCUCUGACGUUAGCGGCGGACGGGUGAGUAACACGUGGAUAACCUACCUAUAAGACUGGGAUAACUUCGGGAAACCGGAGCUAAUACCGGAUAAUAUAUUGAACCGCAUGGUUCAAUAGUGAAAGACGGUUUUGCUGUCACUUAUAGAUGGAUCCGCGCCGCAUUAGCUAGUUGGUAAGGUAACAGCUUACCAAGGCAACGAUGCGUAGCCGACCUGAGAGGGUGAUCGGCCACACUGGAACUGAGACACGGUCCAGACUCCUACGGGAGGCAGCAGUAGGGAAUCUUCCGCAAUGGGCGAAAGCCUCACGGAGCAACGCCGCGUGAGUGAUGAAGGUCUUCGGAUCGUAAAACUCUGUUAUUAGGGAAGAACAAAUGUGUAAGUAACUAUGCACGUCUUGACGGUACCUAAUCAGAAAGCCACGGCUAACUACGUG
rnacentral:rRNA from 1 species